rnacentral:rRNA from 1 species
UACGUAGGGUGCAAGCGUUGUCCGGAAUCAUUGGGCGUAAAGCGCGCGUAGGUGGCUUCGUAAGUCCGUUGUGAAAGUCAAAGGCUCAACCUUUGAAUGCCGAUGGAUACUGCGGAGCUAGAGUACGGAAGAGGCGAGUGGAAUUCCUGGUGUAGCGGUGGAAUGCGCAGAUAUCAGGAGGAACACCAAUAGCGAAGGCAGCUCGCUGGGACGUUACUGACACUAAGGCGCGAAGGCGUGGGGAGCGAACAGG